GGUUAAGCGACUAAGCGUACACGGUGGAUGCCCUGGCAGUCAGAGGCGAUGAAGGACGUGCUAAUCUGCGAAAAGCGUCGGUAAGGUGAUAUGAACCGUUAUAACCGGCGAUGUCCGAAUGGGGAAACCCAGUGCAAUUCGUUGCACUAUCGUUAACUGAAUACAUAGGUUAACGAGGCGAACCGGGGGAACUGAAACAUCUAAGUACCCCGAGGAAAAGAAAUCAACCGAGAUUCCCCCAGUAGCGGCGAGCGAACGGGGAGCAGCCCAGAGUCUGAAUCAGCUUGUGUGUUAGUGGAACGGUCUGGAAAGUCCGACGGUACAGGGUGAUAGUCCCGUACACCAAAAUGCACAGGCUGUGAACUCGAAGAGUAGGGCGGGACACGUGGUAUCCUGUCUGAAUAUGGGGGGACCAUCCUCCAAGGCUAAAUACUCCUGACUGACCGAUAGUGAACCAGUACCGUGAGGGAAAGGCGAAAAGAACCCCGGCGAGGGGAGUGAAAAAGAACCUGAAACCGUGUACGUACAAGCAGUGGGAGCACCUUCGGGUGUGACUGCGUACCUUUUGUAUAAUGGGUCAGCGACUUAUAUUCUGUAGCAAGGUUAACCGUAUAGGGGAGCCGCAGGGAAACCGAGUCUUAACUGGGCGUUAAGUUGCAGGGUAUAGACCCGAAACCCGGUGAUCUAGCCAUGGGCAGGUUGAAGGUUGGGUAACACUAACUGGAGGACCGAACCGACUAAUGUUGAAAAAUUAGCGGAUGACUUGUGGCUGGGGGUGAAAGGCCAAUCAAACCGGGAGAUAGCUGGUUCUCCCCGAAAGCUAUUUAGGUAGCGCCUCGUGAACUCAUCUUCGGGGGUAGAGCACUGUUUCGGCUAGGGGGUCAUCCCGACUUACCAACCCGAUGCAAACUACGAAUACCGAAGAAUGUUAUCACGGGAGACACACGGCGGGUGCUAACGUCCGUCGUGAAGAGGGAAACAACCCAGACCGCCAGCUAAGGUCCCAAAGUCAUGGUUAAGUGGGAAACGAUGUGGGAAGGCACAGACAGCCAGGAUGUUGGCUUAGAAGCAGCCAUCAUUUAAAGAAAGCGUAAUAGCUCACUGGUCGAGUCGGCCUGCGCGGAAGAUGUAACGGGGCUAAACCAUGCACCGAAGCUGCGGCAGCGACACUAUGUGUUGUUGGGUAGGGGAGCGUUCUGUAAGCCUGCGAAGGUGACCUGUGAGGGUUGCUGGAGGUAUCAGAAGUGCGAAUGCUGACAUAAGUAACGAUAAAGCGGGUGAAAAGCCCGCUCGCCGGAAGACCAAGGGUUCCUGUCCAACGUUAAUCGGGGCAGGGUGAGUCGACCCCUAAGGCGAGGCCGAAAGGCGUAGUCGAUGGGAAACAGGUUAAUAUUCCUGUACUUGGUGUUACUGCGAAGGGGGGACGGAGAAGGCUAUGUUAGCCGGGCGACGGUUGUCCCGGUUUAAGCAUGUAGGCUGGUUGUCCAGGCAAAUCCGGAUAAUCAAGGCUGAGGUGUGAUGACGAGGCACUACGGUGCUGAAGUAACAAAUGCCCUGCUUCCAGGAAAAGCCUCUAAGCAUCAGGUAACAUUAAAUCGUACCCCAAACCGACACAGGUGGUCAGGUAGAGAAUACCAAGGCGCUUGAGAGAACUCGGGUGAAGGAACUAGGCAAAAUGGUGCCGUAACUUCGGGAGAAGGCACGCUGGUGUGUAGGUGAAGUCCCUGCGGAUGGAGCUGAGACCAGUCGAAGAUACCAGCUGGCUGCAACUGUUUAUUAAAAACACAGCACUGUGCAAACACGAAAGUGGACGUAUACGGUGUGACGCCUGCCCGGUGCCGGAAGGUUAAUUGAUGGGGUUAUCCGUAAGGAGAAGCUCUUGAUCGAAGCCCCGGUAAACGGCGGCCGUAACUAUAACGGUCCUAAGGUAGCGAAAUUCCUUGUCGGGUAAGUUCCGACCUGCACGAAUGGCGUAAUGAUGGCCAGGCUGUCUCCACCCGAGACUCAGUGAAAUUGAACUCGCUGUGAAGAUGCAGUGUACCCGCGGCAAGACGGAAAGACCCCGUGAACCUUUACUAUAGCUUGACACUGAACAUUGAGCCUUGAUGUGUAGGAUAGGUGGGAGGCUUUGAAGCGUGGACGCCAGUCUGCGUGGAGCCAACCUUGAAAUACCACCCUUUAAUGUUUGAUGUUCUAACGUUGGCCCCUUACCGGGGUUGCGGACAGUGUCUGGUGGGUAGUUUGACUGGGGCGGUCUCCUCCCAAAGCGUAACGGAGGAGCACGAAGGUUAGCUAAUCCUGGUCGGACAUCAGGAGGUUAGUGCAAUGGCAUAAGCUAGCUUGACUGCGAGCGUGACGGCGCGAGCAGGUGCGAAAGCAGGUCAUAGUGAUCCGGUGGUUCUGAAUGGAAGGGCCAUCGCUCAACGGAUAAAAGGUACUCCGGGGAUAACAGGCUGAUACCGCCCAAGAGUUCAUAUCGACGGCGGUGUUUGGCACCUCGAUGUCGGCUCAUCACAUCCUGGGGCUGAAGUAGGUCCCAAGGGUAUGGCUGUUCGCCAUUUAAAGUGGUACGCGAGCUGGGUUUAGAACGUCGUGAGACAGUUCGGUCCCUAUCUGCCGUGGGCGCUGGAGAAUUGAGGGGGGCUGCUCCUAGUACGAGAGGACCGGAGUGGACGCAUCACUGGUGUUCGGGUUGUCAUGCCAAUGGCACUGCCCGGUAGCUAAAUGCGGAAGAGAUAAGUGCUGAAAGCAUCUAAGCACGAAACUUGCCCCGAGAUGAGUUCUCCCUGAGACUUUAAGUCUCCUGAAGGAACGUUAAAGACGAUGACGUUGAUAGGCCGGGUGUGUAAGCGCAGCGAUGCGUUGAGCUAACCGGUACUAAUGAACCGUGAGGCUUAACCUU
rnacentral:rRNA from 1 species